rnacentral:rRNA from 1 species
CUACACAUGCAGUCGAACGGUAACAGGAAGCAGCUUGCUGCUUCGCUGACGAGUGGCGGACGGGUGAGUAAUGUCUGGGAAACUGCCCGAUGGAGGGGGAUAACUACUGGAAACGGUAGCUAAUACCGCAUAACGUCGCAAGACCAAAGAGGGGGACCUUCGGGCCUCUUGCCAUCGGAUGUGCCCAGAUGGGAUUAGCUAGUAGGUGGGGUAACGGCUCACCUAGGCGACGAUCCCUAGCUGGUCUGAGAGGAUGACCAGCCACACUGGAACUGAGACACGGUCCAGACUCCUACGGGAGGCAGCAGUGGGGAAUAUUGCACAAUGGGCGCAAGCCUGAUGCAGCCAUGCCGCGUGUAUGAAGAAGGCCUUCGGGUUGUAAAGUACUUUCAGCGGGGAGGAAGGCGAUAAGGUUAAUAACCUUGUCGAUUGACGUUACCCGCAGAAGAAGCACCGGCUAACUCCGUGCCAGCAGCCGCGGUAAUACGGAGGGUGCAAGCGUUAAUCGGAAUUACUGGGCGUAAAGCGCACGCAGGCGGUCUGUCAAGUCGGAUGUGAAAUCCCCGGGCUCAACCUGGGAACUGCAUUCGAAACUGGCAGGCUAGAGUCUUGUAGAGGGGGGUAGAAUUCCAGGUGUAGCGGUGAAAUGCGUAGAGAUCU